CCAAUAGCGUAUAUUAAAGUUGUUGCAGUUAAAAAGCUCGUAGUUGAAUUUCGGGAUCAAUGUUUCGGUCAUGCCGUUGGUAUGUACUGAUAUUAUUGAUUUCACACCUUCUAAAGAACCGUAAUGCCAUUAAUUUGGUGUCACGGGGAAUUAGGACUGUUACCUUGAAAAAAUUAGAGUGUUUAAAGCAGGCUCACGCUUGAAUACAUUAGCAUGGAAUAAUGAAAUAGAACAUCCGAUUCUAUUUUGUUGGUUUCUAGGAUCGAUGUAAUGAUUAAUAGGGAUAGUUGGGGGCAUUAGUAUUCAAUUGUCAGAGGUGAAAUUCUUGGAUUUAUUGAAGACUAACUACUGCGAAAGCAUUUGCCAAGGAUGUUUUCAUUAAUCAAGAACGAAAGUUAGGGGAUCGAAGACGAUCAGAUACCGUCGUAGUCUUAACCAUAAACUAUGCCGACUAGGGAUCGGAUGAUGUUAAUUUUUUAAUGACUCAUUCGGCGCCUUACG
rnacentral:rRNA from 1 species